GACGAACGCUGGCGGCGUGCCUAAUACAUGCAAGUAGAACGCUGAAGAGAGGAGCUUGCUCUUCUUGGAUGAGUUGCGAACGGGUGAGUAACGCGUAGGUAACCUGCCUGGUAGCGGGGGAUAACUAUUGGAAACGAUAGCUAAUACCGCAUAAAAUUGAUUAUUGCAUGAUAAUUAAUUGAAAGAUGCAACUGCAUCACUACCAGAUGGACCUGCGUUGUAUUAGCUAGUUGGUGAGGUAACGGCUCACCAAGGCGACGAUACAUAGCCGACCUGAGAGGGUGAUCGGCCACACUGGGACUGAGACACGGCCCAGACUCCUACGGGAGGCAGCAGUAGGGAAUCUUCGGCAAUGGGGGGAACCCUGACCGAGCAACGCCGCGUGAGUGAAGAAGGUUUUCGGAUCGUAAAGCUCUGUUGUAAGAGAAGAACGGGUGUGAGAGUGGAAAGUUCACACUGUGACGGUAUCUUACCAGAAAGGGACGGCUAACUACGUGCCAGCAGCCGCGGUAAUACGUAGGUCCCGAGCGUUGUCCGGAUUUAUUGGGCGUAAAGCGAGCGCAGGCGGUUAGAUAAGUCUGAAGUUAAAGGCUGUGGCUUAACCAUAGUAUGCUUUGGAAACUGUUUAACUUGAGUGCAGAAGGGGAGAGUGGAAUUCCAUGUGUAGCGGUGAAAUGCGUAGAUAUAUGGAGGAACACCGGUGGCGAAAGCGGCUCUCUGGUCUGUAACUGACGCUGAGGCUCGAAAGCGUGGGGAGCAAACAGGAUUAGAUACCCUGGUAGUCCACGCCGUAAACGAUGAGUGCUAGGUGUUAGGCCCUUUCCGGGGCUUAGUGCCGCAGCUAACGCAUUAAGCACUCCGCCUGGGGAGUACGACCGCAAGGUUGAAACUCAAAGGAAUUGACGGGGGCCCGCACAAGCGGUGGAGCAUGUGGUUUAAUCCGAAGCAACGCGAAGAACCUUACCAGGUCUUGACAUCCCUCUGACCGCUCUAGAGAUGGAGUUUUCCUUCGGGACAGAGGUGACAGGUGGUGCAUGGUUGUCGUCAGCUCGUGUCGUGAGAUGUUGGGUUAAGUCCCGCAACGAGCGCAACCCCUAUUGUUAGUUGCCAUCAUUCAGUUGGGCACUCUAGCGAGACUGCCGGUAAUAAACCGGAGGAAGGUGGGGAUGACGUCAAAUCAUCAUGCCCCUUAUGACCUGGGCUACACACGUGCUACAAUGGCUGGUACAACGAGUCGCAAGCCGGUGACGGCAAGCUAAUCUCUGAAAGCCAGUCUCAGUUCGGAUUGUAGGCUGCAACUCGCCUACAUGAAGUCGGAAUCGCUAGUAAUCGCGGAUCAGCACGCCGCGGUGAAUACGUUCCCGGGCCU
rnacentral:rRNA from 1 species